UUAAAAAUAUGCAUAUUAGGGGUUUGGUGUGAUGCCCCUACGCCUGGCCUGGGUCAACUUUUACCUGGAACUAUAGAGCCCAGCUAUCCACACAGGUCCAGGAUACAGUUGAUCUGCAGGCAAGGACACAGACAACGCGGUGACCUAAACAUAUUUUGUCAAGCUAACGGUCGAUGGUCCAGACCAGAGGGAGCUUGUCAUAGGAUAUCCUGUAAUAAACCGCAGUUAGAGUCCGGAGCCACAUUACUCUCUCAAACCUUUCUCUUUGGUUCCAGAGUACCCUACACCUGUCCUUCAGGAGAAUAUCCUGUAAACUCCCCUCUACACUGCCUAGUUGAUGGUACCUGGUCCAGUAACCCUGGCAGAUGUUUCAAAAUCAAUAAGUAAAGGAUGUAUUACAGAGAUUCUGCCAGGGGCUUUAAUGUAUUUUUGUAAAACUUUUACAUUUUUAUACAAAUAUGAUAAUUUAAUCUGUACAGAGAACCCAAGAUUUAAACAAUACUUAAUCUCAGAUUAAACAGAUUUGUUGAGAUAUAUUUGAUCUGGGAUUAUUUUUGAAAUCAACGGAACUUCGAUCAAUUUUGUUCGGAACCAAGAAUCAUUGGAUUUUAUGAAUAAAAAUACUAGACAAUUGCCUCUAAUCCUAAUUUUCGCAUCCCAUAUACCUUUGCAACCUGUCGUUGUAGACCUUGACAUGCCAAACUAUAGAAUUCUACUAUAAAUGCUACAUUUACAAGAUCAGGUUGCAAAGAUUAGAAAAUUAGAGUUUUGAGGCAAUUAUGUUGUUAAUAUUUUAAAGCUUUGAAUUUCCUCAGUUUAUUUAAAUAAAAGUCCCAACCAGGUUUUUAAACAUUUUUGGGGGGUUUGAGAGAAUUGAACAAUUAAAGCAUUAUCAUUAAAUCCAAUUCUACAGAAUUGUUUAAAUCUUGGAUGUUUUUACAUUAUACUCAUUCACUGUAAAUUCUAAAUGUUACU
rnacentral:lncRNA from 1 species